AAGGUCCUGGCUUUUUUUGUUUCGUGAACAAAUGGAGGAACACAACUUCUCGGUCGGGCUUUGCUUUUUGGUCUUUGGUUUCUUAUCACCACCACCCAUUGGACUGGAGGGGUCAAGAUCAGUGGAACAUGCUGGAUGGUACAAACAAGUCUAUCACUGUCCUAGAAGAAGUCCUUUCCCUGACUGCAGUUGUGAACUGCAGCACGGUCCUGCUUAAAGACCCAGUGAUCACCACACGGACCCAGAUUAUCAGUCAUAAGGGAUGAUUGCUGCUAAAUCUCUACAUAGCCAGCUGGGGUUUAACUCCUGCACAACCUGAAGCUCCACUGAUGGAAGAAGCCCCCUAGAUCAUGAUGUAGCUUCCUGCACUGUGGCAUGUAGAAAACAUCUCCAGCAGGGGAUGUUUAGAAAGCCAUAAGGACUGUCCAAAUUAAGAUCUUUCUCAAAGAAUAAAACCUCCAAAUGUCA